rnacentral:piRNA from 1 species
CUAUCCUCAGCAGAUAGGGUGACAACAGC